AAUAAGCGGAGGAAAAGAAACCAACAGGGAUUGCCCUAGUAACGGCGAGUGAAGCGGCAACAGCUCAAAUUUGAAAUCUGGCGCAAGCCCGAGUUGUAAUUUGUAGAGGAUGCUUCUGGGCAGCGGCCGGUCUAAGUUCCUUGGAACAGGACGUCACAGAGGGUGAGAAUCCCGUACGUGACCGGCGCGCACCCUCCACGUAGCUCCUUCGACGAGUCGAGUUGUUUGGGAAUGCAGCUCUAAAUGGGAGGUAAAUUUCUUCUAAAGCUAAAUACCGGCCAGAGACCGAUAGCGCACAAGUAGAGUGAUCGAAAGAUGAAAAGCACUUUGGAAAGAGAGUUAAAAAGCACGUGAAAUUGUUGAAAGGGAAGCGCUUGCAACCAGACUCCGCGGCGGUGUUCCGCCGGUCUUCUGACCGGUCCACUCGCCGCCGCGGGGCCAACAUCGUCUGGGGCCGCCGGAUAAGACCGCAGGAAUGUGGCUCCCUCGGGAGUGUUAUAGCCUGCGGUGAUGCGGCGCGCCUCGGGCGAGGUCCGCGCUUCGGCAAGGAUGUUGGCGUAAUGGUUGCCAGCGGCCCGUCUUGAAACACGGACCAAGGAGUCUAACAUCUAUGCGAGUGUUCGGGUGUCAAACCCCUACGCGUAAUGAAAGUGAACGGAGGUGGGAGCUUCGGCGCACCAUCGACCGAUCCUGAUGUCCUCGGAUGGAUUUGAGUAAGAGCAUAGCUGUUGGGACCCGAAAGAUGGUGAACUAUGCCUGAAUAGGGUGAAGCCAGAGGAAACUCUGGUGGAGGCUCGCAGCGGUUCUGACGUGCAAAUCGAUCGUCAAAUUUGGGUAUAGGGGCGAAAG
rnacentral:rRNA from 1 species